rnacentral:rRNA from 1 species
CCUACGGGCGGCAGCAGUAGGGAAUCUUCGGCAAUGGGGGCAACCCUGACCGAGCAACGCCGCGUGAGUGAAGAAGGUUUUCGGAUCGUAAAACUCUGUUGUUAGAGAAGAACGUUAAGUAGAGUGGAAAAUUACUUAAGUGACGGUAUCUAACCAGAAAGGGGCGGCUAACUACGUGCCAGCAGCCGCGGUAAUACGUAGGUCCCAAGCGUUGUCCGGAUUUAUUGGGCGUAAAGCGAGCGCAGGUGGUUUCUUAAGUCUGAUGUAAAGGGCAGUGGCUCAACCAUUGUGUGCAUUGGAAACUGGGAGACUUGAGUGCAGGAGAGGAGAGUGGAAUUCCAUGUGUAGCGGUGAAAUGCGUAGAUAUAUGGAGGAACACCGGAGGCGAAAGCGGCUCUCUGGCCUGUAACUGACACUGAGGCUCGAAAGCGUGGGGAGCAAACAGGAUUAGAUACCCUUGUAGUC